rnacentral:rRNA from 1 species
AGGAAGUAAUAUCAAAUCAAACCUACUUAUUUUGGUGACACUUCAUCUAAUUAGAGGAACUUGUUAUAUAAUCGAUAUGCCACGAUAAAUUUCACUAAAAUUUAUAGUUUAUAUACCGCCAUCUAUAGAACUAAUUAUAAAAUAUUAUUCAUAAUAAAAAAUAAAAAGUUAGGUCAAGGUGUAACCAACAUUUUAGAAAAAAUGAGUUACUAUAAAUUAUAUUUAAGGAUUAAAAUAUAAUAAUAUUUUAUAAAAAAGGAUUUAUUAAUAAAAUAUAAACAAUAUUUAUACUUGAAAUAGAUUAUAAAUGUGC